AGUGAACGCUGGCGGUAGGCCUAACACAUGCAAGUCGAACGGCAGCACAGUAAGAGCUUGCUCUUACGGGUGGCGAGUGGCGGACGGGUGAGGCAUACAUCGGAAUCUACUUUUUCGUGGGGGAUAACGUAGGGAAACUUACGCUAAUACCGCAUACGACCUACGGGUUAAAGCUGGGGAUCUUCGGACCUUGUGCGAUUGAAUGAGCUGAUGUCGGAUUAGCUAGUUGGCGGGGUAAAGGCCCACCAAGGCGACGAUCCGUAGCUGGUCUGAGAGGAUGAUCAGCCACACUGGAACUGAGACACGGUCCAGACUCCUACGGGAGGCAGCAGUGGGGAAUAUUGGACAAUGGGCGCAAGCCUGAUCCAGCCAUACCGCGUGGGUGAAGAAGGCCUUCGGGUUGUAAAGCCCUUUUGUUGGGAAAGAAAAGCAGCAGGUUAAUACCCCGCUGUUCUGACGGUACCCAAAGAAUAAGCACCGGCUAACUUCGUG
rnacentral:rRNA from 1 species